rnacentral:tRNA from 1 species
CUACCCGUAGUGUAACAGGAUAACAUAUCAGAUUCCGAUUCUGACGAUUUGCGGUUCAACUCCGCACGGGUAGACCA